rnacentral:rRNA from 1 species
GACGAACGCUGGCGGCGUGCCUAAUACAUGCAAGUUGAGCGCUGAAGGUUGGUACUUGUACCAACUGGAUGAGCAGCGAACGGGUGAGUAACGCGUGGGGAAUCUGCCUUUGAGCGGGGGACAACAUUUGGAAACGAAUGCUAAUACCGCAUAAAAACUUUAAACACAAGUUUUAAGUUUGAAAGAUGCAAUUGCAUCACUCAAAGAUGAUCCCGCGUUGUAUUAGCUAGUUGGUGAGGUAAAGGCUCACCAAGGCGAUGAUACAUAGCCGACCUGAGAGGGUGAUCGGCCAAAUUGGGACUGAGACACGGCCCAAACUCCUACGGGAGGCAGCAGUAGGGAAUCUUCGGCAAUGGACGAAAGUCUGACCGAGCAACGCCGCGUGAGUGAAGAAGGUUGUCGGAUCGUAAAACUCUGUUGGUAGAGAAGAACGUUGGUGAGAGUGGAAAGCUCAUCAAGUGACGGUAACUACACAGAAAGGGACGGCUAACUACGUG